UUUUUUUUUUUUUUUUUUUUUUUCGGCUCAUAAGUUUACUUGAAGUUUUUUAAUCACAUUUCCAAAAAAAUUUACAUUCAGGAGAUACAUAGGAAUCCUCAACGAGGAGGGGAAAAGGAGAGGAUAAAAAAAAGGGUGUUUUUUUGCCGCCCGGGGAAGAGAACAGCAAAAAAUGAAAAAAAAAGCAAGAAAAAAGCACACCAAAAGUUUCUGGCUCUUUGGUUCGCAUAAAUCCGACCCUACAUACUCCUU
rnacentral:ribozyme from 13 species